rnacentral:rRNA from 1 species
UGAGUAACACGUAUCCAACCUGCCGUCUACUCUUGGACAGCCUUCUGAAAGGAAGAUUAAUACAAGAUGGCAUCAUGAGUCCGCAUGUUCACAUGAUUAAAGGUAUUCCGGUAGACGAUGGGGAUGCGUUCCAUUAGAUAGUAGGCGGGGUAACGGCCCACCUAGUCUUCGAUGGAUAGGGGUUCUGAGAGGAAGGUCCCCCACAUUAGAACUGAGACACGGUCCAA